GGUUUGUCUGUGGGGAGUCAGGUCCAGGGAGCUAUCAAGAGGCUGGGUCUCUAAUGCGGAUUAUGGUCUUGUAUCCAGUUUCACCAAUCAGCAAUUUCUAGUCUUAAUGGAACCGGACAGGAAUCAGUUUCUCUAAAGAGUCCACGUGGAAACAACCUGGACUGACUGUAGUAGCCUUCCAGAUGAUGCUUCAGAUCAGCGAAGAUGAGAACCACUGUUCUACGUGUGCUGACGAUCAGAAUCCAAGAAGCGUCUGGAGAGUGACAAUAACAUGGGCGGGCAGU